rnacentral:rRNA from 1 species
AUUGAACGCUGGCGGCAGGCCUAACACAUGCAAGUCGAGCGGCAGCGGGAAAGUAGCUUGCUACUUUUGCCGGCGAGCGGCGGACGGGUGAGUAAUGCCUGGGAAAUUGCCCAGUCGAGGGGGGUAACAGUUGGAAACGACUGCUAAUACCGCAUACGCCCUACGGGGGAAAGCAGGGGACCUCCGGGCCUUGCGCGAUUGGAUAUGCCCAGGUGGGAUUAGCUAGUUGGUGAGGUAAUGGCUCACCAAGGCGACGAUCCCUAGCUGGUCUGAGAGGAUGAUCAGCCACACUGGAACUGAGACACGGUCCAGACUCCUACGGGAGGCAGCAGUGGGGAAUAUUGCACAAUGGGGGAAACCCUGAUGCAGCCAUGCCGCGUGUGUGAAGAAGGCCUUCGGGUUGUAAAGCACUUUCAGCGAGGAGGAAAGGUUGAUGCCUAAUACGUAUCAACUGUGACGUUACUCGCAGAAGAAGCACCGGCUAACUCCGUGCCAGCAGCCGCCGUAA